CAUUGCCCCAGGGCCGGGCACAGGUGCAACGCGGCUUGAUCACCAGGGCUCUGGCCUCUGCUGACCGCGGGCCUGAACGCAGGACCCCACUGGUCCUCUGCUGCCACCUUGUGGCCACUUCCCAGAUGGCAGGUAGGAGCCUGAGAUCUUUCUCUGGUUCCAGUUCCGGGAAACUCUUGGGCCCCCUGGAGCCUUGCCCACCCCCGGAGUGCUUCGUGUGGCCAAAUACUGUGGGCGAUUAUCGGGGCCUGGAACCAGGGGCUGCCCCUUCCCCGUUUCUAUUUUCUAAAGCUGCAGAGACAAACUGUGGAGCCACGGUGAUAAAACUAGGGCAGUAAAGGAUAUAGAGAAGUCGCUAAACAUUGACACAGACUUGGUGGCAGUCGACGGCAGGAGGUGCACAAGACGGUGGUGGGGACCCAUCCUUAGUGUUUGGAAAGCCGGCCGGCUAGAGGGAGAAACGAAAGCCAUGCCCCCCGCCAACCGCCAACCGGCCAAAGACGUGACGUUAAAACCCUACAGAAGGAAGAAAAUCGGGGCUACUGGGUUUCUGACUGGGGCAGUGGUGUUGGAAAAGCCUUCCUAAACAAGACCAGAAAGGGCACAAGCCGUGGAUGGAUUCGGCACCAUCAGAAUGAGGGGUGUCUGUCCAGCGCAGGAGAGC
rnacentral:lncRNA from 1 species